UCUCGCCUACGGGACGCAGCAGUAGGGAAUCUUCCACAAUGGACGAAAGUCUGAUGGAGCAACGCCGCGUGAGUGAAGAAGGGUUUCGGCUCGUAAAGCUCUGUUGGUAGUGAAGAAAGAUAGAGGUAGUAACUGGCCUUUAUUUGACGGUAAUUACUUAGAAAGUCACGGCUAACUACGUGCCAACAGCCGCGGUAAUACGUAGGUGGCAAGCGUUGUCCGGAUUUAUUGGGCGUAAAGCG
rnacentral:rRNA from 1 species